rnacentral:rRNA from 1 species
AAAAACAUCGCCCCCAGAAAACUAUUGAGGGGUCUUGCCUGCCCAGUGAUAAAAAUAUUAAACGGCUGCGGUACUCUGACCGUACAAAGGUAGCAUAAUCAUUUGCCUAUUAAUUGUAGGCUGGAAUCAAUGGCUUGACGAAGAGAAAACUGUCUUUCUCUAUAAAAAUUGAAUUUAGUAUUUUGGUGAAGAAACCAAAAUAGUAAAAUGGGACGAGAAGACCCUAUUGAGCUUUAGCUUUUUUCUAUAAAUAUUAUAUUAAUAAAGUUUUGGUUGGGGCAACUAAUCUUAUAAUAAAACAAGGUUAAUUAAUAAAAGAAUUUAAUCUAAAUUUGACCCAUAAUUUUGUGGUAGUAAGAAAAAGUUACCAUAGGGAUAACAGCGUAAUUUUCUUUGAGAGUACAUAUUGACAAGAAAGUUUGCGACCUCGAUGUUGGAUCAAGAUAUCCUGGAGGUGUAGCCGUUUCCAAGGGUGGGUUUGUUCAACCUAUAAAAUCUUACGUGAUCUGA